GCCUUCGUGGCCUAAUGGAUAAGGCAUCGGUCUCCUAAACCGGGGAUUGCGGGUUCGAGUCCCGCCGAAGGUA
rfam:Tetranychus urticae London genomic scaffold, scaffold_5